rnacentral:rRNA from 1 species
AUUGAACGCUGGCGGCAUGCUUUACACAUGCAAGUCGAACGGCAGCGCGGGCUUCGGCCUGGCGGCGAGUGGCGCACGGGUGAGUAAUGCAUCGGAACGUGCCCAGUAGUGGGGGAUAGCCCGGCGAAAGCCGGAUUAAUACUGCAUACGACCUGCGGGUGAAAGCGGGGGGCCGUAAGACCUCGCGCUCUUGGAGGGGCGGAUGUCGGGGUAGCUAGUUGGUGGGGUAAAGGCUUACCUAGGCGACGAUCCGUAGCUGGUCGGACAGGACGACCAGCCACACUGGGACUGAGACACGGCCCAGACUACUGCGGGAGGCAGCAGUGGGGAAUUGUGGACAAUGGGGGCAACCCUGAUCCAGCCAUGCCGCGUGCGGGAAGAAGGCCUUCGGGUUGUAAACCGCUUUUGUUCGGGAAGAAAUCCUCUGGGCUAAUACCCCGGGGGGAUGACGGUACCGGAAGAAUAAGCACCGGCUAACUACGUG